GGCACGCCUUAUACAUGCAAGUCGAACGAAGUAGCAAUACUUAGUGGCAGACGGGUGAGUAACAUGUGGGUAUCUUCCCUUUGGUGAGGAAUAACACGAGGAAACUUGUGCUAAUACCUCAUAAGUCUUUACGGAGAAAGCUUUAUGCGCCAAUGGAUGAGCCCGCACUUGAUUAGUUUGUUGGUGGGGUAACGGCCUACCAAGACUUUGAUCAAUAGCUGAUCUGAGAGGAUGAUCAGCCACAUUGGGACUGAGACACGGCCCAAACUCCUACGGGAGGCAGCAGUAGGGAAUAUUGCACAAUGGAGGAAACUCUGAUGCAGCGAUGCCGCGUGAGUGAAGAAGGCCUUUGGGUUGUAAAGCUCUUUCGUCGGGGAAGAAAAUGACGGUACCCGAAUAAGAAGGUCCGGC
rnacentral:rRNA from 1 species